rnacentral:rRNA from 1 species
AUAAUAAUUAGUCUUUUAAUUGAAGGCUGGAAUGAAGGAUUGAACGAAGUAUAAUCUGUCUCAUUUAAAUUAAAAUUUAAAUUUAAUUUUUAAGUUAAAAAGCUUAAAUUUUAUUAGAGGACGAGAAGACCCUAUAGAGCUUUAUUAUUAAUAAAUUAAUUAAAUUUUAAAUUUAUUUAUUAGUUUUGAUAUAAUUUUGGGGCGACAGGAAAAUUUAUUAAACUUUUUUAAAUUAUUUACAUUUAUUUAUGAAUUUUUGAUCCUAUUUUUUAGAUUAAUAGAUUAAGUUACCUUAGGGAUAACAGCGUUAUUUUUUUUUAGAGUUCAUAUUAAUAAAAAAGAUUGC